rnacentral:lncRNA from 1 species
CUUUGCCUGACUGGCAAGAGACUUAUAAACUCCAAAAUAUGCAAGUCAUCCUCCAUCUUGUUUUCCAUUUCCUUUGAGGCCGUUCCUUGGGCAUUGAGGCUUGAAUCCUGCUAUCAGAACUUUGGUGUUCUCUGGACACGUAACGUCCCCAGCGGGGCCCUAGGCACAGGCCGCCAUGUGGCUCGGGCAUCCAGAAGAGGAGCAAGGCCUUACUGAGAUGGGUGUUCUAUCGCCAUCACUAAGGGUUUGACCCUUUCUGAAAUCUCAGUGAGAUGCUGGCUCCUGGCAGUCUCCAAC